rnacentral:lncRNA from 1 species
UUAAUUUAAUUAGGAUUGUGUACUUAGAGCCUUCAACCUUUGGCCCUUCAGUUAUACUUUUUCUCCCGUUGCGCCCAAAUUUGCCAUUACGCCCCAAAUUUGCCAUCAUCUCUCUCACGACUCACCACCAAUCGGCACCACCCACGCAGCCAGUCACGGGUUGCGGCCUACCUCUUCUCUAGUCUAGUAGUGUCUUACUCUUCCCCAGCCCAGUCGCGAGCGGUGAGGCUGUCGCCCUAACCCUUCUGCCCCCUGCCUAGUCGCACCUCUACUGCGCUCCUGCCUAGUUCCCGAGGAGGAGGAUCUUGCCUUGUUCCCGCUGGUUCUUUACUAAGCUUAGGUUUUAAAUUUGCCUCUAUUAUUCGUAGUUGUUAUUGAAAGUAUUUUGCCUCAAUGUGAAUUCAUUUUGAAGUAAGAUUUCCUUGAGUUUUGAUUUGUUUAUGUCAAAUACAUGUCAUUUUUAUCUAACGUUUGGUUCUUUUUAGGGGUAAUAUGAAUCAUUUCCAUAGAUCUGCUUUGUAAUUUUGCAAUAUUGGUGUUCUACCAUAUGGACGUGUAUGGAUUAUGAUGUCUCUGCUAACCUCUGAUAGAGAUGUUGAAUUUUAAAUGAUAGAGAUGUUGAGUUUUAAAUUUGAUGGGGAAAUAAAUUUGGCAUCCCGUUGGUAAACACGACUAUACAUAUGUGAGAAAAUUUUUGAAUUUAGAUUUUAGUUUGCAAGUAUGUGUGGAUGUUGAUCAGGGUUAUGCUUUUAAUGAAUUCUAUGUCAUAACAUUAUUGAAAUAAGGUAUGACAGUUUAAUUCAAUGUUAGGCUUGUUACAAUAUAUUCUUUAAGGUUUCAAAUUGUGUUUGCCUUAAACAAUAUAUUCUUUUUUAUUUAAUUGGCACCGCAGCUUGUGCAGAAAAGUUUUGCUCGACUGUGCUAUGAUGACUUCUUGAGGAACCCCAGGUUCCAAUAUCAAUUUCUCGGUCUAUUUGGGAUUGAUACUUCCACUUCAUUUGAUUUAUUAGCGUUUCCUCCUUUUGAUAGUUUUCUUCUUUAUAUAGUAAAUUAGAGAGUCAUUUAUGAUAUUUUUUUGAGGUUUGCUUGUGAAUGGAAGUAAAAAUGCCAUGUCUAGGUUGCUGGUUCUGGCACUUUAUAGAAAGGCAUUGGCGCUUGUAAUUGCUUAAACAAGGUGAAGAGUGUUUGUAGUCACUCCAAGUUACUUUCUCUUAGCAAUUAGUCGGUGACAUACGCCGUGAGGCCUUUCAAAUAACUGAAAACCAAAUAAUACCGGAGAAGAUCAUUAUGCCAGUAAGAGCUCCUUUAAUUUGUAGCCUGUUUUCUUUUUCUGUUUUUGUUUUUGUUUUUGUGCUUUUUCCUUUUCAUUUACUAGAAAGUAUGCUAAGUAUCUGAUCCAAGAUCUCUUUGGCCUGCAAAUUCUUUUCCUGUCUAUUUCAAUUGAUUAAUAUUAUAUUUUGGUUCUUAAUGGUAUGUGUGAAUAUGGGCUAGAAUUAAUAAUGGUGGCACCAUAAUUGAAAAUUUUAAGCUAAUUUUCUCCAUUUUCAGAACUUGAUCUUUGCUCCCAAACACAUUGUAACCUUAUUGUCAAAUAUAGUUGCAAAGAUGAUGUACAAGCUGUAAAUUACUGAAUUUCUCGGGCAUAUUUGUUUAUUUCAUUUAGUCCACAAGUAAAAUUAUGUACUCGACAUUCAGGAUGUUUGAAAUUGAAUAUAUCUUGUUUCUAUAUUUGUUGCGACAAAUACUGAAGGUACUGCAUGCUAUCAACUAAAUGUCGUUCCACUUCAGUUUGAACGACGGAUAAGAAGAGAAAGCCAUUGGACAACCAAAUCUCCAAAAUCAAUCACUCCAAACAGAAUUGAUAUGGGUAGCUAAGAAGAUUGUGCAAGGUGUGUAAAAUUUUGAUUUACUUUGGGUCAUGGUUUUUUUUAGAAUAUGCAUGAGCAUAUAUAAAUAUAGCAAAGCCAAUUCUUACAUAGAGGAUUACACCUAGAAAUUAAACCAUAUACUGGAACUUAAAGUACAUAAACAAAAUCAACUAUACAAAGAAAAUUAAUAGCCCUCUUGGCCAAAAGAUGACCUGUUGCACCUCUUUUUGCCGAGCUUUAUUACUCAUUAGACAUUUAUUUAUAUGUGAAGCUCAACCACUUGGUUUAGAUGCCUUUAGAUAAUGGAACACGAAAUCAAGCUGAUACCAAGGUUGGCAAUGUUUAGCGCACUCUCAAAUAUUUCUAAUGCCUCCUCCAUGGGAUAAAAUUCUGAAAGCAUGUUGAUUCAAAUUAACAUGGAACUAAAUAGUACUACUGCAUUAGCAGAAUCAUGCAUUAGUGAUUUUGGCAGAAAGCUUAACCUCAUUUUAGUCUAUGAGAGCUUAGAUCGGUGAAGAAAUAGCAAUCCAAUGGAGUUAGUUAUCUAUUCUUUAGUUAUAAGCAAGGAAGAAAAAUAACCUUUAUCUGAUUAACUUGCAGGUGUUUGUGGCUUAUAGAUUGAAAGUUCCAGGAGCAUGGCAUGGCUUGGUGCCUUCUUGAUUCUUAGUUGCUGAGAGGGUUGACACCUAGACAUGCAGUUCUUCAAGACCUCACUUGGGUAAUUCUUGAAAGAUGUAUUUCGAUUAUAGCAUCUCAUAGAAUCUCAUAUUUUUAUAAAUUUUUCCAAGUAAUUGUAUCAGCUCAUUUUUGAGCUUUUAUUUUAGGGAGGAAUUGAAGACGGUGAGGAGCCAACAUAUGAUGCAAUUAUGGAAUUGCGAGAAGAAACUGGAAUAUUUCUUGCUAAAAUUUUUGCUGAGGUUCAUUUCUCAUGCUCUGCUUUUUCCUUUCUCAUGACACGGAAGUGAUUACCAUGUGGAAGCUAUAUAAAUUUAGGUGGUGUUAUGUUGCAAAAGUAUAUGUAUAUGUCGACAUUUAUAGUCACACUGAAGGUUCAUGAAAUGGCCGAUUAAGAUUCCAAUUUUUUCUUGUAACAGAGCAAUCAUAUAGUCGCACUGAAAGUUCUUUUUCUAUUUGGAUUUGUAGCAAAUGAUAUUGUGAUUGCCUAUUUGUCUUUUUCUACUUAUGAGCAAUACGGUGUACAUUAGUACCACGUAGAAACUCUAUUGUCUUUGUGUAUUGAUUUUGGCACUAAGUGCAUCUGGUGACCUAUUGGUUUCAUUUCUCUGACUUGUUAUUAUUUUCAAAUAUGUACAGGAAGACUACUUCUAUGACCUGCCUUACAAUACUGGGUAUCAAAUUUAUGUGUUACAUUUACGAAAGACAAGGGACAGAAUUAUGAAGUGUACUCUCUCUUUAUAUGUAGAUAUAUACUUUGAUUAAAGAACUGUGGUAGCUUUAGAUGGUUAAUUGUAAAGAUAAUGAAUGAUUAUGUAGUGGAUUAUUUUAUUAAGUUAAUAAUAUUUUAGUUUUUUUGUAUUUUUGACAUUAUUUGCUAUGAGGACAUUGAGCCAGCCAGGUACACAAAAAGAAUGUCAAAUUUUGAUUUGGCAAC